CGCGGGAAAUCUUACCGGGUCCNGACACACUGAGGAUNGNCAGGCAAUAUAUUAGCAUAAAGAUUCGUCUUUAGCGCUAAUUGUUAAAUAUNCUAGUCCUUUCAUGAUUAUGUGAUAGGUGGUGCAUGGCCGUUCUUAGUUCGUGGAGUGAUCUGUCUGCUUAAUUGCGUUUCACUAAGGGCCCAUAAAUUCAAGGUAUGUUAGCAAAUGCUGCUCUAUUGACCCCUAAUAGGCUUAACUGUCUUUAGCGCGUGUCUCUACGAGUUCUUUAAAGCACUGCGCAUGCUGUUGGGUCCUGAAAGCAACGAACGUGACCGCAACGUCUUGUUGCCUCUCUAUAAUACCUUCUUAUUUUUAAUAAGAGUAUUUACCUGAGGCUAUUUUAAAACUAGACGGACCGCUGUUUCUUUCUUAAACCANAGGAAGGUUGCGGCAAUAACAGGUCUGUGAUGCCCUUAGAUGUUCCGG
rnacentral:rRNA from 1 species